UUUUUAACCUUAUGUUUUUCAUACACAUCAGUCACCGGCUUCCCCUCCCCUCUCCACCCAAGCCACAGAUGCAAAAGGACAUGUGCAGACUAUAAUAUUAUUAGUGCUCUUUGAGGAAAUACCAGGCGCAGAUUAGCCCUUCUUUGAGGAGAAUCUAUACCUGUUUACUGCUCCUUGGUUUUCCUCCUCCUUGGGAAGAACAGGGCUUUGGAAACGAAACUUCCAGGUCCACAGCGUGAGUCUCUGCCAGCCGAGAGUGUACACAAGAAAAUUAACUGCUGCUCCACGGUCUCGCAGGAGGACCUCGAAGGCCGACAGGACUGUCCCUACGGAGCUGGAACAACAGAUCUCCCCCGCUUCCCCCUCCCUCCGCGCCUUCCUCUGGGCUCCAGGCUGUGAGAAAUCCUACACAGAUUUCCUGUCGGACCACAGAAAGUGAGGAGAGCAAAUCAACUAUAAACCAAAUAACUGAAAUGCUGCUAGCUAAAAGGAGCGAUUGACUGUGGCUGACAAAGCUGCACACAGGCUUCUGAAUGAUCAGUUGUUAACCGGCUCUGAGAGGGACAGAGGACAGAUUUAAUGUGUGAAGAUACCUGUUCACACAGGUAUGUGGAUCCAAUUGCUGAAACCAUUGCAAACACAAUUUUCUUCGAACACUUAAAUUUCACUGGCAGUGAUGUCCAAUAGGUCAGAAUA